UUGCCCUUAGUGCCUUUCAAGUAGGGAAGACAAGAAAAAUACGUUGUGUGCUGGGGUGGUGAACUCUGUGACAAGAUAGAGAAGGAAGGGACCUCCUGGACGUGCAUGCCGGCCGCCUGGGCUGCUCGCUCACCGAGAUCCACACGCUCUUCGCCAAGCACAUCAAGCUGGACUGCGAGCGGUGCCAGGCCAAGGGCUUCGUGUGUGAGCUCUGCAGAGAGGGCGACGUGCUGUUCCCGUUCGACAGCCACACGUCUGUGUGCGCCGACUGCUCCGCGGUCUUCCACAGGGACUGCUACUACGACAACUCCACCACUUGUCCCAAGUGUGCCCGGCUCAGCCUGAGGAAGCAGUCGCUCUUCCAGGAGCCAGGUCCCGAUGUGGAGGCCUAGCGCCGAGGAACAGUGCUGGGCACCCCGCCUGGCCCGCCAGGACCCACCCUGCCAACAUCAAGUUGUUCCUUCUGCUCCGGA
rnacentral:lncRNA from 10 species